CUCUUGUAGGAAGUUGUCCCCUCGGACUAUGUGACAGCAAGAUUUCCUCAUAUGUCUGCUUCUCUGCAGAAGAGCUCUGUAUCUGCGUGCUGCUGUUGCAGCUGCAUUGUGCCUUGUCUGCGGAUGUGUGACACAGCUCAAAGGGUGACACAAUGCUGGGAAACCAGAGGAAAAGCGAAUGGAACUGUAAAGUUCUCCCCCCCCUCCUUUGUUCAGCAGGGAGUCCUCUGAAUUAACUUCAACUGAGAGGAACUCAUUUUGGGUUUUCCAUAAACAAAGCAUCAGAGCAUGGUUGUCCAUUGUUCUUAUACACUGGAGUCUGAAACUACCUCUUCUCCUUUUGUCUGUCUUUUUUAAAAAAAUCACUCUGCUAGAGUGAAUAUUGUACAGUUUCUUAUCCCAUGAAUACAGACAAAGCCUCCACUCUUCUUGCUUCCUACAGGGCAUCUCCAUGGAGGAUUCAUAGCAGUGCUGUAAUAUACUGGUAUUAAUGAGCACAUCAUUCAGUCCCCUAUUCCGGCUUUUUCAACAAGCCCAUACUCACAAACAAACUUUCAGGACAGUAUUUAUCUGCUUCAAACUGAAACUGCAGAAGUAAUUAAAAGCUAGGUGAUGGCAGGUCUGUAUGUCCAGCUAGCCUUAUUUUCUCUUACACAUUCACAAUUUUGUAAUUGGCCACUGGAUCGCUAACCUUUUCAUGAUUGGCCCUAGAUUGCCCUCCUACUAUUCAGUGUCCAUAACUGUUAAUGGGAAUUCUGCAUAUAGCCUGAAAAAGUAUGUAAUAGCCUGAAUCGAUGGCUAUAUGUUUAUUAUCCUCUCUUUGCACAGGGCUUCGGCAUUGCUCUCUACAGUUAUGAAACUUCAUCUUUAAAGUACUGAAAGAAUAGAGCUACAGGGUAAAACUGUACUGAAAAUAUCUUAUAAAUGACCAGUGUUUGUAUUUUUAAUUUAAAAAAAAUGAAUACAAAUAUUAAAGAAACUCCUUAGCAUCUGUGCUGUGUUUCUUAUGGGGGUAUGUGUCAUUGUAGCAUUGUUCAUUUAGUCACAUGACCAGGUUAAGGUAUCUAUGGUGAAAGCUUCUCACCAAUGCAGAUGUCAAUAGUAGGUACUAACAUGUUAACCAACCAAUCCCAGCUAUAAUCCUAGUCCUGAAGGAGGUGGAACUAGUAUGAAAGAUUAUUCAAAAAGGUGAAAGCCUUUUGUUCUCUUCAUGAAGGGUCAAGCUGCAAAG
rnacentral:lncRNA from 1 species